CUGGGAUUCCUGGCAUAGAAGAAGGACUGUGGUUGCUUGUGGCAGAUCCUCCUUCACCCUUCCAGGGCUCUCGGCCCUUCCACAGCUGCACCCAGAAGCCUGAACUGGCAAAUGGACUCAGGGCUUGGUCAUCUCAACUGCUGCAGUGACAGUCGCCUCUGGCAAGAUGCUGAUUUGGGCCAAUGUCGCAGGCCCAGAGUCUCUGCCUCCUGCCAGCUCUUCUGGGCAUGAAUGAACAUCACACCACAGAGUGUGGGCUCUGGCAUCCCCCGGGCAAGGGCCAUUUCAUACAACUUGGAGAUUGGCCAGGGAGGCUGGAGAUAGGUUAUUGUCCUAUACCUGUCUAAGGACAGACUGUCCCAGAAACUGAGCCCAGGGACUCUGACGUGGGAUGUGUCUGCUCUGGUCACAAGGGCUGAUCAUCAGUCUCUCCAUGGCAAGUUUGAUUGGGAUGGAAAAUCCAGAAUUAGAGGACCUUAACAUUGUCAAUCAUCUUUAAUUCCUUGCUACUAACCCAGUCCUGGUUCGAUGGCACCAUCUUCUCUCUUUUAUCCUUCACAAGGGGCAGAAGAAUGAAUACACUGUGCUCCAGGAUAGCACCUUUGCCAGUCAGUUUUUAUAUAAGGAUCAGGUGAGAAUAAUAAAGGUCAGAGAAACAUACGUGAGUGUGCACAGCUGUGAGCAGGGACCAGAUUUCUAACCUACGUCUACUAGCAUCAAAGCCCUGGCUUCCCCGAACCUCCUGCCAUGCUGAGACCAUGUCUUCAUCAUCCUGAGUAUUCAACAUGUUGAAUAGCACAGGGCUUGCCUCUAUUUAAUUAAAUGUUUGCUGAAUAUAUUGAGGACACUGAUAUAGAUAACUCAUUGUUUUAUGUUCUUUAAUAUGUGGGAAUAAUUAUUUCUAUAUUUUCUACAAUGUUUAAGUGUUUUGUAUUUAUUUUACCUCUCUGUCAGCAUAGGCUGAGUUGUGCUAUAGUGACAAAUAAUGUCAAAAAUCUCAGUGAAUUAUUACUUCAUGAAAUGCACUUUGUGGGCUGACUGCCGCCAUGUGCUUCCUUCCUUUUAGGACCCAAGCAAGCUCCUUUUGGGACACUAUGGAUCUUAUGGGAGGGAAGAGGGCUGCAGUAACCAGGCGAUAGCUCUUGAGGUUCUGCGUAGAACCUACCUCCCCUUUCAGUUCCACUCCCUUUUCACUGGCCACAGUGAGACAGAUGGCCAGACAAGAUGGGCUGGGAAGAGAACAGUCUUCCUGGGGAGGAACUGGAGAGACGGGGCAGCAGGUCGACGGGACACACUUCAC
rnacentral:lncRNA from 1 species